UACGUAGGGGGCAAGCGUUGUCCGGAUUUAUUGGGCGUAAAGAGCGUGUAGGCUGUUCGGUAAGUCUGCCGUGAAAACCUGAGGCUCAACCUCGGGCGUGCGGUGGAUACUGCCGGGCUAGAGGACGGUAGAGGCGAGUGGAAUUCCCGGUGUAGCGGUGAAAUGCGCAGAUAUCAGGAGGAACACCGAUGGCGAAGGCAGGUCUCUGGGCAUUAACUGACGCUGAGGAGCGAAAGCAUGGGGAGCGAACAGG
rnacentral:rRNA from 1 species